GGAGGGGUACCCAAGUGGCUGAAGGGGCGACUUUGCUAAAGUUGUAGGGGGAUGUUAAGUCCUCGCGGGGGUUCGAAUCCCCCCUCCUCCGCCA
rnacentral:tRNA from 1 species